rnacentral:rRNA from 1 species
AACGAACGCUGGCGGUAUGCUUUACACAUGCAAGUCGAACGAGAACGUGCCUUCGGGCAUUAUUAAAGUGGCAGACGGGUGAGUAACGCGUGGGAAUCUACCUAGUAGUAUGGAAUAGCCAUUGGAAACGAUGAUUAAUACCAUAUACGCCCUUCGGGGGAAAGCUUUAGUGCUAUUAGAUGAGCCCGCGUUAGAUUAGUUUGUUGGUAGGGUAACGGCCUACCAAGGCUAUGAUCUAUAGCUGGUUUGAGAGGAUGAUCAGCCACACUGGGACUGAGACACGGCCCAGACUCCUACGGGAGGCAGCAGUGGGGAAUAUUGGACAAUGGGCGAAAGCCUGAUCCAGCAAUACCGCGUGAGUGAUGAAGGCUUUAGGGUUGUAAAACUCUUUCAGUAGGGAAGAUAAUGACGGUACCUACAGAAGAAGCACCGGCUAACUCCG